rnacentral:rRNA from 1 species
CCCUUAGAUGUUCUGGGCCGCACGUGCGCUACACUGACGAAUGCAACGAGCUUAUAACCUUGGCCGAAAGGUCUGGGUAAUCUCCAAAUUUCGUCGUGAUGGGGAUAGAUUAUUGCAAUUAUUAAUCUUCAACGAGGAAUGCCUAGUAAGCGCAAGUCAUCAGCUUGCGUUGAUUACGUCCCUGCCCUUUGUACACACCGCCCGUCGCUCCUACCGAUUGAAUGGUCCGGUGAAGCGUUCGGACCGUGGCCUUUGGACGGUUCGCCGUCUGUUGGCUGCGGGAAGUUCGUUAAACCUUAUCAUUUAGAGGAAGGAGAAGUCGUAACA